CCCCACUGCUAUCGGGAUAGGACUAAGACAUGCUAGUUGAGCGCCACAACCGGCGCAGCGCACAGCUCAGUAACACGUGGCUAAUCUGCCCUUGGGACCGGAACACCCCCGGGAAACUGGGGCUAAUUCUCGAUAGGUGAAGAACUCUGGAAUGAGUCUUUGCCGAAAAGAUUAUGAUCGCCCAAGGAUGAGGCCGCGACCGAUCAGGUUGUUGGUGAGGUAAUGGCUCACCAAGCCUUUUACCGGUGCGGGCCGUGAGAGCGGGGGCCCGGAGAUGGGCACUGAGACAAGGGCCCAGGCCCUACGGGGCGCAGCAGUCGCGAAAACUUUGCA
rnacentral:rRNA from 1 species